rnacentral:tRNA from 1 species
GGCCCUUUAGCUCAGUGGUUAGAGCAGUCGCUGGUUCAAGUCCAGCAAGGGCCACCA